rnacentral:rRNA from 1 species
UACGUAGGCAGCAAGCGUUGUUCGGAAUUACUGGGCGUAAAGCGUGCGUAGGCGGUGCCUCAAGUUUGGUGUGAAAUCUCCCGGCUCAACUGGGAGGGUGCGCCGAAAACUGAGGUGCUCGAGUGUGGGAGAGGUAGGCGGAAUUCCUGGUGUAGCGGUGAAAUGCGUAGAUAUCAGGAGGAACACCGGCGGUGUAGACGGCUUACUGGACCAUAACUGACGCUGAGGCACGAAAGUGUGGGGAGCAAACAGG